rnacentral:rRNA from 1 species
CUCAGGAUGAACGCUGGCGGCGUGCUUAACACAUGCAAGUCGAACGAAGCUAAGGGAGCUUGCUCCCAAAGCUUAGUGGCGGACGGGUGAGUAACGCGUGGGUAACCUGCCCUAUAGAGGGGGAUAACGUUCGGAAACGAACGCUAAUACCGCAUAAACCAUAAGGAGCUGCAUGGCUCUGAUGGCAAAGAUUUAUCGCUAUAGGAUGGACCUGCGUUGGAUUAGCUAGUUGGUGAGAUAACAGCUCACCAAGGCGACGAUCCAUAGCCGGCCUGAGAGGGUGAACGGCCACAUUGGGACUGAGACACGGCCCAAACUCCUACGGGAGGCAGCAGUGGGGAAUAUUGCACAAUGGGCGCAAGCCUGAUGCCAGCGACGCCGCGUGAAGGAAGAAGGUCUUCGGAUUGUAAACUUCUAUCAGCAGGGAAGAAUAAAUGACGGUACCUGACUAAGAAGCCCCGGCUAACUACGUGCCAGCAGCGGC